AACGAACGCUGGCGGCAUGCCUAAUACAUGCAAGUCGAACGAGAUCUUCGGAUCUAGUGGCGCACGGGUGCGUAACGCGUGGGAAUCUACCCUUGGGUUCGGAAUAACUUCGGGAAACUGAAGCUAAUACCGGAUGAUGACGUAAGUCCAAAGAUUUAUCGCCCAGGGAUGAGCCCGCGUAGGAUUAGCUAGUUGGUGGGGUAAAGGCCUACCAAGGCGACGAUCCUUAGCUGGUCUGAGAGGAUGAUCAGCCACACUGGGACUGAGACGCGGCCCAGACUCCUACGGGAGGCAGCAGUAGGGAAUAUUGGACAAUGGGCGCAAGCCUGAUCCAGCAAUGCCGCGUGAGUGAUGAAGGCCUUAGGGUUGUAAAGCUCUUUUACCCGAGAUGAUAAUGACAGUAUCGGGAGAAUAAGCCCCGGCUAACUCCGUGCCAGCCGCCGCAGUAAUAC
rnacentral:rRNA from 1 species